rnacentral:tRNA from 1 species
GCGCCGCUAGCUCAACAGGUGGAGCAACGGACUCUUGAUCCGUGGGUUCGGGGUUCGAUUCCCCGGCGGCGCA